rnacentral:lncRNA from 1 species
AAACACCCGCUCUGACCUCUUCAAACAGCCCAAUCACUUCCACAAGGUUACACAGCUAACAAGAAGCUGGGCUGUGAUUUUAACGCGAACUGAUGAAGCUCUAACCCAGCACCCUUGACCAUGAGGCUACGUGAUACACCUUGAAUCUCUGAGCUCUGAGUCUAUUCUGGGGCAGAAACGCAAGGCUUGCAUUUUACAUGUUGCUGUGAUGACUUAGUGAAGACCGGCCGGCGUCCAAGACUGCAGCAAGGCCUCCGGUUUAUGUCUUGGAGAAGCAAGGAGUGAUCACAGCCUGGAGCUCAGGGUCACCGGACACUAACCCCCUCGGCUAAACUGGGGAGAACACUCUGAUGUCACAGGUUAUCUCUUCCAGAGAUUCAUCUGCAUCACCCAGAGAAACGUGGAGAAUGGAGGGAAUCUUCUAGAUUUACUUGAUCAGAAGAGAAGAUGUCUGGGUCCCCAUGACACCAAUGGUACUCACAGCCCCAACACGGCUGACUGCCCCAGAGAGGAUUUUGCCUCAGAAAGAUGUUCUCAAGUGUCAGCUUCUCCUACACGAAAGGCCAGGUUUCUUCACCCAACCUGGGUCUCCAGCACUGCCUCCUGCAUCCAAGUCAGGUGUGCUCUUCUGGAUCCUUCUCUGACCUAUCAUUUUGACAUGGAUUAUUAGAAGUAAAGAAAGCCAUGGCACCUGUGAACCAGAAGGCACAAUUAGACUCAGUAGCGGUCACAAUCUGCAAACGUUCAGGUUCUUACGGAAUCAUUAUUGAGUCGAGCUGGAGCAUCAAGCUUGAACAAGUAUAGACUUUGAGAAAAACAAACACGCUACAGAAAAGCCAUCUGCAAUCAUGAAAUACCGAGGGGAGAUGAAGGAUUCUGAAACAUACUUGGGAAAUAAAUGGACAGCCCGUGGUCCUCCAGAAAUAAUGCCAGACGAUGAGGCUGAUGUGAAGGAGUAUGGAAAUCUCAAAAGCCCUUGAACAACAGGAAAAAAAGCACACGUCAAAUAGCGCGUCACAGUGGAAAUUGCUACUAGAAAAAAAAGAAGCAUUAUGAGCAAGGAUAGACCAUUAGAAGAUCUAUUGUUAUGAUGGAGAACUUGCUUGUAGAGGAAGCGAGCAGAAUACAGAUGUAAAUAUGUAUGAGGAAAUAAACCACAUUAAACCGGAAUACAGUGCAAUUUUAGUUCCACUAAAGAACAUAGUAUACGAUACACCUGGAAGGAAAUAAUA